GGACGCCCACUUCUGGUGAAAUGAAACCAAAACAUUAGCAUUUAGCAGCCCAUUUAGCUUGUAGCUUGUGUGCCUGUAUGUGAAGAAGAAAUGGCCUUUAUUCCUGUGUCUCAGGAUGAGUUCAACUGUUGUGUUUGUCUGGACUUGCUGAGGGACCCGGUGACUGUUUCCUGUGGACACAGUUUCUGUUUGAACUGCAUUACAGGCUGCUGGAAUCAAGAAGACCAGAAGGGUGUUUACAGCUGCCCCCAGUGCAGGGAGACCUUCACUCCAAGGCCUGUUCUACGCAGAAACACAAUGCUGACUGAAGUUAUAGAGAAACUGAAGAAGACCGAACUGCAGUCUGAUGGUAAGGCUCCUUUCUACGCCGGACCAGACGAUGUGGAGUGUGACUUUUGCACUGGGAGAAAACAUAAAGCCACCAAGUCGUGUCUAACAUGCAUGGGAUCUUACUGUGAGGUUCACAUCCAGCCUCACUAUGAAGUUACCUGUCUGAAGAAGCACAAGCUGGUUAACGCCAUCUCACAGCUACAGGGGAAGAUUUGCUCUCAACAUGACAGGAUCAUUGAGGUGUUUUGCCGUACAGAUAAGAAGUUAAUCUGUAUGCUGUGUUUAUUGAACGAUCACAAUGGACAUAAAACUGUCUCAGCUGCAGCAGAAUGGGCUGAAAAUCAGACAAAGUUGCAUGGGACAAAGAUGAAUAACAAGACACACAUCCAGCAGAGAGAGAAGGAGCUGCAAGAGGUCAAACAGGCCCUGCAAACUCUAAAGGCCUUUGCACAAGAAGCUGUUGAGGACUCAGAGAGGAUGUUCACUGAGCUGAUCAGCUUCAUGGAGCAAAAGCGCUCUGAGGUGACCGAGUCGAUCAGAGCUCAGGAGAGGGCAGAGGUGAGUCGAGCUGAAGGACUGCUUGAGCAACUGGAGUUGGAGAUCACUAAACUGAAGAGCAGUAAUGCUGAGAUUGAGGAACUUCUACAGAAGGAGGAUCCUAUUGAUUUUCUGCAGAGCUUUUCCCUCACUUCACCUCAGUUCGAACUCCUCUCCAGUGUGACUUCAACGCCACAUUUGUCCUUUACUGAAAUUAAGGGACCAGCCCUCAUGGAAAUAAAACAAAUGAUGUCGAAGUUCAAUCCAGGUUUCAGGAUUGGGGAUCGAGUCCAAGUGAGAGCUUCUGUUCAACAGCCAAAGAAUGGGGGAUGGGGAGGCGUCACUCACAAAAGUUUGGGUGUGAUAACAUCGUUCAGCUCACAUGGAUACAUACUGGUUGAUUUUCCUGAGUGGAAACAGUGGAAGGCAGAUCCCUUUGAAAUCAAGCUGGUCCUCAGGAUUGGGGACAGAGUCCGAGUGAAGGCUUCUGUUCAAAAGCCAACGCAUGGGGGAUGGGGAGGCGUCACUCACAAAAGUGUGGGAGUGAUAACAUCGUUCAGCUCACAUGGAUACAUACUGGUUGAUUUUCCUGAGUGGAAACAGUGGAUGGCAGAGCACUAUGAGAUCGAGCUGGUCCUCUAAUGCAUCACAUGCUAAAUUCUAAAGCAAACUGUUACAUGCAUUCAAAAGCAUCAAAUAUUUUGAUGUAUUGAAACUUCCAUGAUCUCUGAUGUGCAAUAAAUAGGUCCAACAGUAUGAGAAACAUCCCAACAUGAAUUGUGCACCACCAUGCUUUUACCGUCUUCACAGUGUAGGCUACUGUGGCUUAAAUUCAAUGGGGGCCGCAGACAGUUUGUCCAACGAUUGUCCAAACAUUGCUUCCCAGAUAAUGUGUAAUUUCAGGUUGUAAAACUGAAGUAAUUUCAAGGACUGAAAAUAAUAUGAAGACAGGAUAUGAACAUAAUUAGUUAUGUUUUGGGAGCUAUUCAUGAUAUAGAAAAGAUUAGAACAAAAUCAGAGACUGCAGCAACAAUCUUAUCUGAUUUGACA